rnacentral:rRNA from 1 species
UACGGGGGGGGCAAGCGUUGUUCGGAAUUACUGGGCGUAAAGGGCUCGUAGGCGGCCCACUAAGUCCGACGUGAAAUCCCCAGGCUUAACCUGGGAACUGCGUCGGAUACUGGAUGGCUUGAAUUCGGGAGAGGGAUGCAGAAUUCCAGGUGUAGCGGUGAAAUGCGUAGAUAUCGGGAGGAACACCUGUGGCGAAAGCGGCUCACUGGACCACAACUGACGCUGAGGCGCGAAAGCUAGGGGAGCAAACAGG